CUUUGAUUUAAAUUUGAGGCCCAAUGAUUAGAUGAGGUCAAGGUAGGGUAACACUCGGUAUAUGGGCAAGCUCUGAAAUUUAUAAAUUAAAUGUUGUUCACCCCACUAAUACUCUUGACAUGUACGUGGGCACGUAACUAAUAUUGAAAUAUGAUACAAAAUUCCCUUAGAUGGGAAUGAAGCAAAAGAAAAGAAAGCUUGGCAAGGUAAUGAGGAGACUCAGAUAAUAGGAUUGCCACGAAGAAUACAUGAUGUGCCAAGUGCGACUAGCUGAACUAUCAACUACGACCUAAUGAAUGAUGGGUUAAGACCCAAAGGUAUAUCAUGUGUAUGAAUGUAUUUUCGUACAUACCUCUUUACAACUUUCAUGCAUCUAUCUAGUGAAUCACAAGGAUUGAGAAGCGUGUCAACCAUCUAAAGGAGCAAGGAAAAAUAUCUAUGUAACCCAGGUAAGAAAAGGGAACUAUUCCUUUACUUUCUUAAGAAGUAGUCUCUGGUUAUAUAAGGAUGAAAUAAGAGGAAAAUAAGAGGAAAAAAUUCUCUUAUCCUUUAAGCAGAAGUUGGGAAAAUGGAUCCAAGCUUGGAGAUGCCCCUUAUUAAGGGGUUGUUGAUAUACUCGGUGGAAGCCCAGAUACGGUAUUUGGAGCUGCUAAAGUGAGUAAUUUUUGAGCACCUUGUGAACUUCUUGUAAGUAUAUCGUGAGAAACUCGUGAGAGUGUUAUGAAUCUCUAAACUGACUCUUAUAUGUAUGUUUGUAUAUUAAUAUCUUUUAUACUAAAUAUCUGAUCUGUGAAACGAGAAAGUAAGCAAUAUGUUGAUUCUGUAUACGAUGAACUUGCAAGUGUUGCUUGAUGAUAUGCCUCCAUUAUGAAAAGAAGUAUAUGCUUGAUGAAUGUGUGAAGAAA